GGAUAACUACCCUUUAGGACCGGGAUAACUUUGGGAAACUGAGGAUAAUACUGGAUAGGCAAUUUUUCCUGUAAUGGUUUUUUGUUUAAAUGUUUUUUCGCCUAAGGAUGGGUCUGCGGCCGAUUAGGUAGUUGGUUAGGUAAUGGCUUACCAAGCCGUUGAUCGGUACGGGUUGUGAGAGCAAGAGCCCGGAGAUGGAACCUGAGACAAGGUUCCAGGCCCUACGGGGUGCAGCAGGCGCGAAACCUCCGCAAUGUGAGAAAUCGCGACGGGGGGAUCCCAAGUGCCAUUCUUAACGGGAUGGCUUUUCUUUAGUGUAAAGAGCUUUUGGAAUAAGGGCUGGGCAAGACCGGUGCCAGCCGCCGCGGUAACACCGGCAGCUCUAGUGGUAGCAGUUUUUAUUGGGCCGAAAGCGUCCGUAGCCGGUUUAAUAAGUCUCUGGUGAAAUCCUGUAGCUUAACUGUGGGAAUUGCUGGAGAUACUAUUAGACUUGAGACCGGGAGAGGUUAGAGGUACUCCCAGGGUAGAGGUGAAAUUCUGUAAUCCUGGGAGGACCGCCUGUUGCGAAGGCGUCUAACUGGAACGGUUCUGACGGUGAGGGACGAAAGUUAGGGGCGCGAACCGGAUUAGAUACCCGGGUAGUCCUAACUGUAAACGAUGCGGACUUGGUGUUGGGGUGGCUUUGAGCUGCUCCAGUGCCGAAGGGAAGCUGUUAAGUCCGCCGCCUGGGAAGUACGGUCGCAAGACUGAAACUUAA
rnacentral:rRNA from 1 species